rnacentral:misc_RNA from 1 species
GGAAGAAUAUCACAUGAACACAACUUUGAUCCUGCUGGGAUGAAUAGCCUCUGCUGCAAGUGGAUAAUAUUGCUCAUAUUUAAUGGCGUUGCUCCCAUCAUUUAUUAUUAAUCCAUUUUUUUCGAGAUUAAAAAAGUAUUAAUAAAUUCAGAAAACGAAAGUGCAGUCUCUUAUUUUUUUCAUAAAUUAUUGAUUUAAACUUAAAAGUGAGAAAUCUUAUUCCUUUUCAGAUUAUGAUGAAUUCCUUGAUGAAACUAGAGCUCCCAAUUGAGACAUCUUUGGACGCACUGGUUCGGUCUACCACUGUGGCUUGUCAAUGACUCAAUGCAGGCAUUUUCAGCCAUCAAACCAUUCCCGGCUCUACCAUUGACACCUUCUCUUCGCUUUGGCCCAAAAGCUUUCACUAUCUUUUUCCUAGAUUUAGGAUGGUUGGCUAGGGAGACAACGAUUUCGGGGUCUGAUGAUGAGGCGGUGGGGGUGAGAAUGAGGAGGCAAGAGGCCCAGUUGCAUGAGGCAGCUCAAGAGCGCUUAUUAUGAGCCUUGGUGGGGACUAGGUGGAAAAUUGGACUGUUAUUGUUGUUAUUAGCAGGGACGUCAUUGAGAAACUCAGUGCUAAGGCUUUGGAAAAAGAGUGACUUUUAGGACAGUGGAGUCACCGAACUGUGGAUCAGCGAGUCAAUCCGGUGAUGAAUUUGGCUGGAAAGAAGUGAGUUGGUGAGUUUCAGUGAGAAGCGAGGCUAGGUUUGAUUUCAGGUUUUCUCUGGAGCCUGAUUGAAAGAGGCAGUGGUGGGGUUGGUGAAUGAAGGAGAAAGAAGGCUUGUUAUGUUCAAAACGACAACGUUUAGCCUACAGUCUUUGAGAAAAUGAAGCAAUUCCGUUGGUCAUUGACGGGCGUUAGUAACAGUCAGGUGUAAUUGUGUUGAAGUGUAUUUUACUUUAAAGUUUAAUUAUAAAAAUAAAAAACUUUGGGAUUUUUUUUUUUCGUUUUCCCCUAUUAUUAAUUCUCAUCUCCUACGGUCACGGACCACGCAAACGUCAUGAUCCGGACAGAGUUAGCUCAAUGGGUCCCAGAGUCUUAUUCUAAUCCACGGGACCACUUCUCUCUUGGGACCACUGAAUAAAGUCAAAUCUUGAAGUGGUCCCAUCAAACCAAAAUAAAUACAGCUGGAACAAUCUAAUUGGUGAGAUUCAUCGGCUUCGAAACCCAUGUUGUCCGCACUUUGUGGUCCAUGAAACCUACGGGCGACACCUGUUGGCUGGUAACAAUUUCUGUUGCUGUCGGUUCCCUGGCAAAUGGGCGAAGAAGUGUGCAGCCAGCGCGUGACUGUCCAAUGCGAAGCAUGACAGACCAACCACAUUUUCCCUUCUAUUUGGUGUGGCGUGAGGUGAGUGUACAGAAAAGAGAAUCAACCACCGGUGAUAUGAUCAAGAAUGGGAAAAACAAUUUCCGACUUUGCUUUCAUUGAAUAAUAAGAAGUAAUGAUAUUAUAUUGUUAUGUACCGUCUCUG